rnacentral:rRNA from 1 species
AUGUCUUCCUCCUCCGGCGCAUCUCACCCUAGCCUCAAUGGGCAGGUCAUUGAGAAACUCUCUCGCACGAACUACGUGCUAUGGCGCACACAGAUCACGCCGCAGUUGCGUGGCGCCGGUGUCUUCAACUAUGUUGACGGCACCUCGCCGGAGCCGGCCAAGCUUCUCGCCGCCAAGGACAAGGACAGCAAGGAGACUUUCGAGCCCAACCCUCUCCACCCACUAUGGGUCAGGGAGGACCAGCAGGUGCUCGGAUAUCUGCUGAGCAACCUCUCCAAGGAGGUGCUCGUCACGGUGACCACGGGCACCACGGCGCAGGCGCUCUGGACGAUGCUGGCGGGCAUGUACUCGUCGCAGUCGCUGAGCCGCGUCAACAACAUCCGCACCUCCCUCAUCAACGCAUAG